rnacentral:rRNA from 1 species
CCUACGGGGGGCAGCAGUCGAGAAUCAUUCACAAUGGGGGAAACCCUGAUGGUGCGACGCCGCGUGGGGGAAUGAAGGUCUUCGGAUUGUAAACCCCUGUCAUGUGGGAGCAAAUUAAAAAGAUAGUACCACAAGAGGAAGAGACGGCUAACUCUGUGCCAGCAGCCGCGGUAAUACAGAGGUCUCAAGCGUUGUUCGGAAUCACUGGGCGUAAAGCGUGCGUAGGCGGUUUCGUAAGUCGUGUGUGAAAGGCGCGGGCUCAACCCGCGAACGGCACAUGAUACUGCGAGACUAGAGUGAUGGAGGGGGAACCGGAAUGCUCGGUGUAGCAGUGAAAUGCGUAGAGAUCGAGAGGAACACUCGUGGCGAAGGCGGGUUCCUGGACAUUAACUGACGCUGAGGCACGAAGGCCAGGGGAGCGAAAGGGAUUAGAUACCCCAGUAGUC